AGUGAACGCUGGCGGUAGGCCUAACACAUGCAAGUCGAACAGCAGCACAGUAAGAGCUUGCUCUUACGGGUGGCGAGUGGCGGACGGGUGAGGAAUACAUCGGAAUCUACUUUUUCGUGGGGGAUAACGUAGGGAAACUUACGCUAAUACCGCAUACGACCUACGGGUGAAAGCAGGGGAUCUUCGGACCUUGCGCGAUUGAAUGAGCCGAUGUCGGAUUAGCUAGUUGGCGGGGUAAAGGCCCACCAAGGCGACGAUCCGUAGCUGGUCUGAGAGGAUGAUCAGCCACACUAGAACUGAGACACGGUCCAGACUCCUACGGGAGGCAGCAGUGGGGAAUAUUGGACAAUGGGCGCAAGCCUGAUCCAGCCAUACCGCGUGGGUGAAGAAGGCCUUCGGGUUGUAAAGCCCUUUUGUUGGGAAAGAAAAGCAGCAGGUUAAUACCCCGCUGUUCUGACGGUACCCAAAGAAUAAGCACCGGCUAACUUCGUG
rnacentral:rRNA from 1 species